rnacentral:snRNA from 1 species
AGCUUUGCACAGUGGUAGUAUGGUAACCAAUGAAGUUUAUCUGAGGCACGAUUAUGGCUAAUUGAAAAAAAAAUCAAUGUGCACAUCUGAGUGUGGUAGUCUAUUUGGGCUGCUGUAACAAUGCUAUGGACUGGUUAGC